rnacentral:rRNA from 1 species
GACGGCGUAAGCUGUCGCUAAAGGAUGGACCUGCGAUGCAUUUAGCUAGUUGGUAAGGGUAACGGGCUUACCCAAGGCGAUGAUGCAUAGCCCGAGUUGAGAGACUGAUCGGGCCACAUUGGGACUGAGACACGGGCCCAAACUCCUACGGGAGGCAGCAGUAGGGGGAAUCUUCCACAAUGGACGAAAGUCUGAUGGAGCAAACGCCGCGUGAGUGAAGAAGGUUUUCGGAUCGUAAAAAGCUCUGUUGUUGGUGAAGAAGGAUAGAGGUAGUAACUGGCCCUUUAUUUGACGGUAAAUCAACCCAGAAAGUCACGGGCUAACUACGUGCCCAGCAGCCGCGGUAAAU